rnacentral:misc_RNA from 1 species
UCUCCGUAGGUGAACCUGCGGAGGGAUCAUUACUGAGUGAGGGCUUCGGUCCGACCUCCAACCCUUUGUGAACCAAACUUGUUGCUUCGGGGGCGACGCUGCCGCUUCGGCGGUGCGGCGCCCCCGGAGGCCAUUAAACACUGCAUCAUUGUGUCGGAGUUACGGUAAAUUAAACAAAACUUUCAACAACGGAUCUCUUGGUUCCAGCAUCGAUGAAGAACGCAGC